UCGGGAAUUUUGGGCAAUGGGCGAAAGCCUGACCCAGCAACGCCGCGUGAAGGAUGAAGUAUUUCGGUAUGUAAACUUCGAAAGAAUAGGAAGAAUAAAUGACGGUACUAUUUAUAAGGUCCGGCUAACUACGUGCCAGCAGCCGCGGUAAUACGUAGGGACCAAGCGUUGUUCGGAUUUACUGGGCGUAAAGGGCGCGUAGGCGGCAAUUCAAGUCAUCUGUGAAAUCUCCGGGCUUAACUCGGAACGGUCAGAUGAUACUGUCGCGCUAGAGUGCAGAAGGGGCAAUCGGAAUUCUUGGUGUAGCGGUGAAAUGCGUAGAUAUCAAGAGGAACACCUGAGGUGAAGACGGGUUGCUGGGCUGACACUGACGCUGAGGCGCGAAAGCCAGGGGAGCAAACGGGAUUAGAUACCCCCGUAGUCCCUGAGCGGGCUGGCAAGGCGCAU
rnacentral:rRNA from 1 species